GAUGAACGCUGGCGGCGUGCCUAAUACAUGCAAGUCGAGCGAAUGGAAUAAGAGCUUGCUCUUAUGAAGUUAGUGGCGAACGGGUGAGUAACACGUGAGUAACCUGCCCUUGACUCUGGGAUAACUGCGGGAAACUGUAGCUAAUACCGGAUACGACCCUCGGCGGCAUCGCCAGGGGGUGGAAAGAAUUUCGGUCAAGGAUGGACUCGCGGCCUAUCAGCUAGUUGGUGAGGUAACGGCUCACCAAGGCGACGACGGGUAGCCGGCCUGAGAGGGUGACCGGCCACACUGGGACUGAGACACGGCCCAGACUCCUACGGGAGGCAGCAGUGGGGAAUAUUGCACAAUGGGCGCAAGCCUGAUGCAGCAACGCCGCGUGAGGGAUGACGGCCUUCGGGUUGUAAACCUCUUUUAGUAGGGAAGAAGCGAAAGUGACGGUACCUGCAGAAAAAGCACCGGCUAACUACGUGCCAGCCGCCGCGGUAA
rnacentral:rRNA from 1 species